AUGCAAGAUAGGUUUAGGGGUAGAAAGUCCUUUCCCACACAAAAUGUGCUAGCAGCCGUUGAUUUUGACCUAAGAUUUACAUAUGUUCUUGCUGGAUGGGAGGGAUCGGCUCAUGAUUCUUAUGUGCUCCAAGAUGCCCUAUCACGUCCCAAUGGCCUUAAAAUACCAGAAGGUAAAUAUUUCCUAGCGGAUGCGGGAUAUGCUGCAAGACCCGGUAUACUACCCCCAUAUCGUGGUGUCCGAUAUCACCUAAAGGAAUAUAGGGGAAGUAGAGAGCCUGAGAACCCAAGGGAGUUAUUCAGCCAUCGCCAUUCCUCACUUAGAACAACCGUCGAAAGAGCAUUUGGUACCUUGAAGAAUCGAUUUAAAAUAUUUGCAAGUCAGCCAUUCUUCCCUCUAAAAACACAAGUAAAAAUUGUGUUUGCUUGUUGUGCGCUCCAUAACUGGAUCCUAGAUGAUGGUCCUGAUGAGUAUGUCUAUGAUGAUGCUACUUGGUACUCGGCCCUUCCACGGAGUAGACGACACCGUCGUGACGUUUACCAGGAGAGCCAGGCAUGGGCACACAAAAGGGAUGUACUAGCUCAAAAAAUGUGGGAGGAUAAUUUAGCAGCUCAAGAUCAAGAUGAUUAA
rnacentral:rRNA from 1 species